rnacentral:rRNA from 1 species
UACAGAGGGUGCAAGCGUUGUUCGGAAUUAUUGGGCGUAAAGCGCGUGUAGGCGGCUAUGCAAGUCGGGUGUGAAAGCCCUCAGCUUAACUGAGGAAGUGCGCCCGAAACUGCAUGGCUUGAGUACCGGAGAGGAUGGCGGAAUUCCCCAAGUAGAGGUGAAAUUCGUAGAUAUGGGGAGGAACACCGGCGGCGAAGGCGGCCAUCUGGACGGAUACUGACGCUGAGACGCGAAAGCGUGGGUAGCAAACAGG